CUACGGGACGCUGCAGUGAGGAAUUUUGCGCAAUGGGGGAAACCCUGACGCAGCAACGCCGCGUGAGCGAAGAAGGCCCUCGGGUCGUAAAGCUCUGUCAAGUGGGAAAAAAAUCUUUUGAUCAAUAGUCAAAAGACUUGAUGGUACCACUGGAGGAAGCACCGGCUAACUCCGUGCCAGCAGCCGCGGUAAUACGGAGGGUGCAAGCGUUGUUCGGAUUUACUGGGCGUAAAGAGCGUGUAGGCGGUUUAGCAAGUCAGAUGUGAAAGCCCUGGGCUCAACCCGGGAAGUGCAUUUGAAACUGCUUCACUAGAGUAUGGGAGAGGAGAGUGGAAUUCCUGGUGUAGAGGUGAAAUGCGUAGAUAUCAGGAGGAACACCCGUGGCGAAGGCGAUUCUCUGGACCAAUACUGACGCUGAGACGCGAAAGCGUGGGGAGCAAACAGGAUUAGAUACCCCCGUAGUC
rnacentral:rRNA from 1 species